CGCAAUCUGCGAAUGCGCCUCCGCUAUCAACGAAACCCCCACCAGGAUUCGGCGUCACUGACUCGGUUCAACGCAGGCGUGGUAGUGCAGAUAUGCAAAGCGUAAGAGAAUAGGGAUGGAAUGCAGGAACCAAAACAAAAACAAAUCGAUAGUUAUACUAGUGAAUUGAUCAAGUUUGUUUCUAAAUUGAAUUAUUAGCUAAAAUUACGAACGAAUUGUGAGAAGUGAUAGUUUGGAACUAGUAGUUUGAGAAAUCUAGCAGCUUCAACCACGGUUAGCGAAGGUGAUUUUGCAAUCACAGCUCUUUACUCCUGUAUAGAGAAGCGAACGCAGUGUAGUAAGAAAGCAAGUAAUUCGAGGAAUCAGGCGCUACAGUUGGUACAGAUUACCGUACAGAACCGCUUUCCGGAACCGACGGAAAUUAGGGAAUAAAAACACUAAACGUAAGUAACUUGCAAUGUUAUAAAAAUGGUUGUCCAUGAUUCUGCGGUUGAUACAAUUUGUAGACUAAUUCAAACCUAUGUAUUUAAAAUAACUGUAUUUCGAUAGGGAAAAUUUAACGUACGAGCUACAAAUACACCAGUGAAAACAUUUUGGCGAGUUGUUUAAAUUUUCGGAAGGUCGCCUACCGUAUUGUUGCCGAUUACG